rnacentral:rRNA from 1 species
GACGAACGCUGGCGGCGUGCUUAACACAUGCAAGUCGAACGGAAAGGCCCUGCUUUUGUGGGGUGCUCGAGUGGCGAACGGGUGAGUAACACGUGAGUAACCUGCCCUUGACUUUGGGAUAACUUCAGGAAACUGGGGCUAAUACCGGAUAGGAGCUCCUGCUGCAUGGUGGGGGGUGGAAAGUUUCGGCGGUUGGGGAUGGACUCGCGGCUUAUCAGCUUGUUGGUGGGGUAGUGGCUUACCAAGGCUUCGACGGGUAGCCGGCCUGAGAGGGUGACCGGCCACACUGGGACUGAGAUACGGCCCAGACUCCUACGGGAGGCAGCAGUGGGGAAUAUUGCACAAUGGGCGGAAGCCUGAUGCAGCAACGCCGCGUGAGGGAUGACGGCCUUCGGGUUGUAAACCGCUUUCGGCUGUGACGAAGCGUGAGUGACGGUAAUGGGUAAAGAAGCACCGGCUAACUACGUG